CGAACGCUGGCGGCGUGCUUAACACAUGCAAGUCGAACGGAAAGGCCCUGCUUUUGUGGGGUGCUCGAGUGGCGAACGGGUGAGUAACACGUGAGUAACCUGCCCUUGGCUUUGGGAUAACUUCAGGAAACUGGGGCUAAUACCGGAUAGGAGCUCCUGCUGCAUGGUGGGGGUUGGAAAGUUUCGGCGGUUGGGGAUGGACUCGCGGCUUAUCAGCUUGUUGGUGGGGUAGUGGCUUACCAAGGCUUUGACGGGUAGCCGGCCUGAGAGGGUGACCGGCCACAUUGGGACUGAGAUACGGCCCAGACUCCUACGGGAGGCAGCAGUGGGGAAUAUUGCACAAUGGGCGGAAGCCUGAUGCAGCAACGCCGCGUGCGGGAUGACGGCCUUCGGGUUGUAAACCGCUUUCGCCUGUGACGAAGCGUGAGUGACGGUAAUGGGUAAAGAAGCACCGGCUAACUACGUG
rnacentral:rRNA from 1 species